rnacentral:rRNA from 1 species
GUGGGGAAUAUUGGACAAUGGGGGCAACCCUGAUCCAGCAAUGCCGCGUGUGUGAAGAAGGUCUUCGGAUCGUAAAGCACUUUCGACGGGGACGAUGAUGACGGUACCCGUAGAAGAAGCCCCGGCUAACUUCGUGCCAGCAGCCGCGGUAAUACGAAGGGGGCUAGCGUUGCUCGGAAUUACUGGGCGUAAAGGGCGCGUAGGCGGCUCUGUUAGUCAGGCGUGAAAUUCCUGGGCUUAACCUGGGGACUGCGCUUGAUACUGCGGAGCUUGAGGCCGAGAGAGGGUGGUGGAAUUCCCAGUGUAGAGGUGAAAUUCGUAGAUAUUGGGAAGAACACCGGUGGCGAAGGCGACCACCUGGCUCGGUACUGACGCUGAGGCGCGACAGCGUGGGGAGCAAACAGGAUUAGAUACCCUGGUAGUCC